CAUUUUUCUGUACAAUAUAUAAAUGCUUGCCCCUCUCCUGUUCUUUUUCAUCAUUCAUUUUUUAAUCUCAACCUCUCUCAUAAAACUCUUCCGAUAAUGAAUUUCUCAGAUCUGCUCUCAUGCUUCUUGAUUUUUCGUUUUUAUCAUCAAUCUCUUUGGUGUUUAUCCAUGGAUGAAUUGUCAAAUUUUAGAUUUGGUCUUAUUAUCUUAUUGCUGGCAUGAUGGUGGUUGAUCGACUCCGAUGCGUCUGGUUUUGGUUUAAUGAAAUUGAUUUCAAGAACAUGAAUCGAUCAUUCUAGAUUCGCGGUUUCACAUAUGAGGAGAAGUCAAAUUCUUGGCCAUUCUCUCGGUUCGUUGAUACAUGUCGCUGAUCCAGUGAUUCAUUGCGGAGGCUGAUAUUUGCGAAGAAUUUGUAGAUCUGCUAUUGCAGUCUGUACUAGUACCAAAAUAUUAGUAUUGGCUUUGUGAUUUGGUUAGAUUUGAAUACGUUAGGAUUUACGUGCGAGGAUAAGUGGUAAAAAAUGUGAGUGAAAAGACGUCCGACCUUUGCCAUGUUGGGUGCGCUCGCAUGGCUGGUCAACCAAUUAAUAAAAAAAACAUAUUUAGCGUGGUGUUGGAGGAAGAUGGCACGGAGAUUUGCCCGGCUCUUCCUCCAAGCGUGUCUCCUCUUUCUUCUCUUUUUGUCUCUGUUUUUCUUUUCGUUAUUCGACAACUUAUCGACCGAUUUCUUCGCCAGUGGUUCAACUCAUCUGCAUACUAUAAACACGCUAAAAGGUACCUCAUAUUCUCUUAAUACUCUUGUAAAUUAUACACUCCUUUUUCUUUUCCGUCGUUACUUUUCUGCACAAUUUUCAAAGUAAAUUUUAAACUAUAAUAUCUAUAUACUUUAUUUGUAUGAAAAGUAAUGGAAGAAAAAGAAAGAAAAGGAGACUUUAUUUGUAUGGAAAGUAAUGGAGGAAAAAGAAAGAAAAGAAUUAGAGUGAUGAAAAUUUCCUUUUUUAGAUAGCGAAAAGGAAGUGAAAGGAUUUGGAGGGAUUAACUUACCUUAAUUGGAAGGAAAAUGAUAUUCCUUUCUUUCCCCUCCCUUUUCUUCCUAUACAUACAAUCAGAGCUAUUUCAAAAAAUUUAGGAGUCUCGGAAAAAAUUUUUAUUUUGCGCCUCAUUUAUAGUAAAUAUAUUUAUUUUAUUCAUAAAUUUAAGAAUUUUUUUUUUGGAUUAAUUUUUUCAUAUACCGGAGAAAAUUGGGACCCUGUGCAAUCAAUCACUCGCGUACCCUUAAAUCCCCUUUGCAAACAAUAUAGUCUUUUCCCUUUCCUUCCUUCCCCUUCCCUUUCUCUCUUUUUUCUCAUUAUUUGCUAUAUACAUUAUAAAAAAUUAUAAAAAAUAUAAUAAAAAGGUAUACAUUAAGACAAAUGACAAUCAAUUAUUAUUUCAUCCCGAUACCAAUCAAUUAUUGCCAUAACAUACUACUUCAUGUAAUACAAAGGAUAGCAGUAGGCUAAUCCAACAUUUAUCUGUUACGAUACAGAUUAAUUCUUACAAUUUGAAUGCUGAUAGAAUCAAAAGUUGAAUUUACAAUUACAUUUUACCUGCAAAAAAGUAUUAUCACAAUUCAAUUUACAGUAGUUAUAAACAAUCCAAUGCAGUAAUUUCAAUCUAAUAGUUCAUGGUUCUUUCUUCCUAGUGGAAAUUGACGCCAACAUAUUACAAUCUUUUUCUCUCAUAUUGCUCAAUUAUAUAGGUUGCUAAAAUAGUGUUAAUUGUUAAUUCUUGUUGAGAUUGUGUUCUAAAUUACACUUCACAUUUUUUAUUGCAAUUUAUGUUCCCUGUGCGGUAUACCGUCUGUAGAUGUGUACCUUGUGUAUUGCCGCAUGGGUAAAGCUUGUAAGUAACUAAGUAUUGAUAAAUCAAACUGUUUUAUGUGGUUUACGGUAUUGUUUGAUGGCCAAGACUUGAUCAUGAAGGUGAUGGACAAGCCCGGCACUUCAGGGUUGUUGCGAGGAUUUCUUUUAUGAAUCUUAGAUAGUUAUCUCUAUUUAUUUAAGUUUAUGCAGGAUUUUUUAUCGAUUACUUGAUGCUAUUAUUAAGUUCUAUAGUUGGCUUUGAACGAAAUACAUUUAAUUUUAAGUGUUUUGGAUUGAUGUUUA